rnacentral:rRNA from 1 species
UACAGAGGUCUCAAGCGUUGUUCGGAUUCAUUGGGCGUAAAGGGCGCGUAGGCGGCGUGGCAAGUCAGGAGUGAAAGGCCUGGGCUCAACCCGGGAAUUGCGCUUGAGACUGGGCUGGCUUGAGUGCGGGAGAGGAUGGUGGAAUUCCCAGUGUAGAGGUGAAAUUCGUAGAUAUUGGGAAGAACACCAGUGGCGAAGGCGGCGACCUGGACGGACACUGACGCUGAGGCGCGAAAGCUAGGGGAGCGAACAGG